AUGAACAAUGGGAACACAGAGCUAACCAUCUCUCACAGUGAAGCAGCCCUCAUACACCGUCAGAUGCUGACUUGGCUUGAGCUAGUAUUUCUCAGAAUUUCCCUCUGCCUCGGGGCCCCAUCUCGCCCACAAGAGCACCGGCUGGGAGGGAGCAUGAACACCCACCUCGGGCAGCGAUGCCAUGAUGCCACAGCUCCGCAGACUUGCCCCCCUCCUCUCCCUCUACCCGUGUCCUCUACACCCCCUGCCCCCAGGCAGCGAAUGCUCAGACACUUUGGCUGUGGGGCAGGGAUGGGGGGAAGGCAGGCUGCAGGGACAGAAAGCAGGCUCCGGACAACAGCAAACAUGCUGGCUCAAUGCGGAGGGUAUUCAAGGGGGCUGAGCAGGAACCAGAGAGAAAAUACAAAGGAAAACAAAGUGGAGACAAAGCCCUCCCUUGGCCACCCUGCCUCCCCUCUCACAGAUGAGCUGGGGAUGGGUGGAAUGAAACAGACUGCUGGGCGCCACCUCCCUUGUGAUCCCUGGAUGAGAACAAAGAGAGACCUGCUCACAAAGACAACCUGGCCUUGCAGGCAAGGGCAAUGGCCCCCAGGACUUUUCCAUGGCCACAGAAAGGCCAGUUCCCCGUCCCACCCUCCCCAUCCUGCCGCCUCUUACUCACGUCCUGGCUUGAGGGAUUCUGGCCCCCACACAGUGAACAGGCUGUUCUCCCACCCGGGUCCUCUGUGGCUUGGGCGGUACCUGACACAAUGCCUGGGCCCCAGCUGGGCUGGAGAGAGGGGGAGAAGGGUGGGGAGGAAGGGAAGAGCGCUGGGCCUCCUGUACGUAUGUGUGUACACACACACACACACACACACACACACACACACACACACUCUGUGCCUGCAAAGAUCUAAAACCCCUUUCAUCUUAAUAAAGGGGAACAGCAAGAGACACAAAGAGAAGACGGAGGCCAACCCAGUCGUAAAAAACUUAAGAGUCUGUGGCAGGCCUCUGUGCUGCUGCAGGAACCCGGGCUGA
rnacentral:lncRNA from 1 species